rnacentral:rRNA from 1 species
GACGAACGCUGGCGGCGUGCUUAACACAUGCAAGUCGAGCGGAAAGGCCCCUUCGGGGGUACUCGAGCGGCGAACGGGUGAGUAACACGUGAGUAAUCUGCCCUUCACUCUGGGAUAACCCUCCGAAAGGAGGGCUAAGACUGGAUAGGGUCCCCGAGGUAGAAGCCGCGGGGGAAAAACGGGCCUCUGUUUCAUGCUCGUGGUUCGGGAUGAGCUUGCGGCCCAUUAGCUAGUUGGUGGGGUAAUGGCCUACCAAGGCAACGAUGGGUAGCUGGUCUGAGAGGAUGAUCAGCCACACUGGCACUGAGACACGGGCCAGACUCCUACGGGAGGCAGCAGUGGGGAAUUUUGCGCAAUGGGCGAAAGCCUGACGCAGUAACGCCGCGUGGAGGAUGAAGGCCUUCGGGUUGUAAACUCCUGUCAGGAGGAACGACGGGGAAGAGGCGAUAAGCCUUGUUCUCCAGACGGUACCUCCAAAGGAAGCCCCGGCUAAUUC